rnacentral:rRNA from 1 species
CCUACGGGUGGCAGCAGUAGGGAAUAUUGGACAAUGGGGGAAACCCUGACGGAGCAACGCCGCGUGAGUGAUGAAGUAUUUCGGAAUGUAAAACUCUAUCAGCAGGGAAGAAAAUGACGGUAACUGACUAAGAACCUCCGGCUAACUACGGGCCAGCAGCCGCGGUAAUACGUAGGGGGCAAGCGUUAUCCGGUGUUACUGGGUGUAAAGGGAGCGUAGACGGUGCAGCAAGUCUGAUGUGAAAGCUCGGGGCUCAACCCCGGGAGUGCAUUGGAAACUGUAGAACUGGAGUGCAGAAGAGGAAAGCGGAAUUCCAUGUGUAGCGGUGAAAUGCGUAGAGAUUAGGAGGAACACCAGUGGCGAAGGCGGCUUUCUGGUCUGUAACUGACGUUGAUGCUCGAAAGCGUGGGGAGCAAACAGGAUUAGAUACCCGAGUAGUC